UACGUAGGGGGCAAGCGUUGUCCGGAAUCAUUGGGCGUAAAGAGCGUGUAGGCGGCUUGGUAAGUCCGCUGUGAAAGUCCAGGGCUCAACCCUGGAAUGCCGGUGGAAACUGUCAAGCUUGAGUCCGGAAGAGGCGAGUGGAAUUCCUGGUGUAGCGGUGAAAUGCGCAGAUAUCAGGAGGAACACCAAUGGCGAAGGCAGCUCCGCUGGGACGGUACUGACGCUGAGACGCGAAAGCGUGGGGAGCAAACAGG
rnacentral:rRNA from 1 species